rnacentral:rRNA from 1 species
GGGAUCGAAGAUGCUUAGAUACCAUCGUAGUCCAAACCAUAAACGAUGCCGACUCGGGAUCCCGGAACGUUAUUUUAAUGACCUCCGGGGCACCGUAUGAGAAAUCAAAGUCUUUGGGUUCCGGGGGGAGUAUGGUCGCAAGGCUGAAACUUAAAGGAAUUGACGGAAGGGCACCACCAGGAGUGGAGCCUGCGGCUUAAUUUGACUCAACACGGGAAAACUUACCAGGUCCAGACAAAGUAAGGAUUGACAGUUUGAGAGCACUUUCUUGAUUCUUUGGGUGGUGGUGCAUGGCCGUUCUUAGUUGGUGGAGUGAUUUGUCUGGUUAAUUCCGAUAACGAACGAGACCCCAACCUGCUAACUAGACUGGUUUAUUUCACGAUAGAUCAGCGCUUCUUAGAGGGACAUUUCGGAUUUACCGGAAGGAAGUUCGAG